rnacentral:rRNA from 1 species
AUAACACGAGGAAACUUGUGCUAAUACCGGAUAAGUCUUUACGGAGAAAGCUUUAUGCACCAUUGGAUGAGCCCGCACUUGAUUAGUUUGUUGGUAGGGUAAUGGCCUACCAAGACUAUGAUCAAUAGCUGAUUUGAGAGGAUGAUCAGCCACAUUGGGACUGAGACACGGCCCAAACUCCUACGGGAGGCAGCAGUGGGGAAUCUUGCACAAUGGAGGAAACUCUGAUGCAGCGAUGCCGCGUGAGUGAAGAAGGCCUUUGGGUUGUAAAGCUCUUUCGUCGGGGAAGAAAAUGACUGUACCCGAAUAAGCACCGG